UGUUCGAUCGUUUCCACUUUACGGUAAUUGAUUCACUAUAUCGUGAAAAUUAAAAACCUUUAUAUAUUUUCACGGUUUCAAAAUAUUAGGUUGGAAUAAACGAGUGUAAAUUCUAGUUUUACUGUUUUGAUUAUGCGCCUUUAAAUUUUCGGCAUUUACAUAUUUUCGAGAUUUACUGCAUUGAAACCAAGCGUUCGAUUGCUUGACGUCACUUCGUGAUCGACAUCGAUGAAACGCUUGCUUACGCUGUAGAUGUUAUUUUCUGUGCAAAUACAAGCGUCUAUUGAUAACGAAACGAUAAUUUGUCAACAAUGAGAAUCAGAUACUUGGCAUAAUAAUUUUCAUUUAAAAUGUCUAAUUUGGAUAUAAUUCGGAAUACAAAACGAAACUUAAAAGGUAUUGAAAACAACAACGUUCAAAAGAACAAUGUGGAUUUCAAUAGAAAGACUAUUUCCACCGACAAUCAGGAUUUCCGGUAUGACCACUGUUAUUUUGACGAUUUUUCUAUCGGUUCGUCGGUAAGCGAGACCACAUGUGACAACAGCGAUGCUAGUUGGAUAUAAAAUUGGUAGACGUGUCGUUGAACUCGACACAUUGACCGAAUCGCUUUUAGCAUGCAGUGCUUGUCAAGUGCCCAUGAAUUUACUUAACACUGUAGAAAGCAGGGAUUUCGGACAGGCAUGUGUUUUGGACAUACAGUUUAGCAAUUGUGGUGCAGUAAAUAAUGUGGCUACUGGACGGAAACAUGGCAGAGUUUAUGACAUGAUCACAAAGCUUGCAUUUGGGUAAAUCAAAAACUGGGUGUUUCACCUGGGACUUUAACAUCGAAACUGGCCCUUCUCCAUGACCUUCAGCACAAAAAAAGAAAGGCUAUAGCUGUUACUCGUGCAGCAAAACAGUGACGCAUAAGACUUAAAACUCGAACGGCAUUCAAAGGACAGUGCAAGAAGUACGAGUGGGACCAACAUACAGUUCAAACAUAGAGGACCAAGACGUUGAAGUUACAACUAUACCCCCACCUAUACCCAAGCCUGGUCAAGCAGGGCUAGACACGACUGGGAAGGAAUUUGUUUUCUUUGAUUUGGAAACAAGAGGGUUAGAGCACACUUCUCACAUAAUGCAGUGCAUUCAACUGGUCAAUUUUCAACAUAUGUGAUGCAUGAGAAGAAGAUUUCCUUGCAAGCGUCAGAAAUAACUGGAGUGACAGUUGUUAGCGACUCUAUGCUUGUCAAGAGACAAACAGUAACAGCUGUCCCCAUCAAAUCUGCAUUGACAAGUUUUAUAACAUUCUUACAGAAAUGUUCACCAAUUAUUUUAGUUGGGCAUAAUAUAGAGUCUUUUGAUUGUAUAGUGUUGCUCCGUGCUAUCCAUACUUGUUGAAAAAUGUUUGAGUUUCAGCAAAAUAUUUGUGGCUUUUUAGAUACUUAAAAAUGUUAAAGGAAAUAUUACCAAAUAUGAAAUCAUAUAAGCGGGAACAUUUAGUUAAAGACGUCAUUGGUGAAUUAUACAUGAAAUUUAUAAGUCAAGGUGUUGCAAGGAAAGUUGCAGGAAGUGGAUUUCAACUUAAACAUUUGAGUCCUGUAUCAAAAAGAAACGGACUGAGUGGUUUGAGGAGCCCCCUGUCAGAGGUUACAAACGGACAAAUCAGAGUAACAAAAUCAAAGAAAAUAAUAUGUUCAAUAGCGAGUUAUUUGUUGCCUGACAUCUAACCAAUUGUAAUUUGCAUCUUGUAUAUAGAUAAGCUAUGAAAUCUAAUAGCUGUUACAUAAUUGUUUUUCCUUCUCGAUGACGAACAUAGUUGUGAUUCUUAUGUCAGUUGUAUUUCUCAUGUUUCACCUAAGUUGUAAGAUAUUUUUGGCAGUGCAUUAAACCACAGAUGGUGUGUGAAACAUAAUUGCCCAGCUUAUUGUAUUCUUUGUUGUUUUAAGCUUCACUGGCCAAAGGCCAGCGGGGCUUAUGUUAUGAUUCUGUGUCCGUCGUACGUGCGUGCCUGAACGUUUCCUUUAAACAUCUUCUUCUCCUAAACUACUGGUCCAAUUGUGAUGAAAUUUCUCAGGAUAGUUCCUCUUUCAACGUUGUUCAAAUUGUGCCCCUGGGGUCAAAUUUGACCCUGCCCCGGGGUCACAAAAUUGAACAUAUGCUUAUAUAGGGUCUAUUUUGUGAAAACUUCACAUAUUUUUUCGUCCAUAACCAUUGGGCCUUGGGCUUCCAAAUUUGGUAUGUAGUGGCAUCUUAUAGUCCUCUACCAAGUUUGUUCAAAUUAUGCCCCUAGGGUCAAGUUUGACCCUGCCCUGAGGUUCACAAAAUUGAACAUAUGCUUAUAUUAGGCAUUUUUUGUGAAAACUUUAAAAAUCUUCUUGUUCAUAUUAGUAUGGCAUAGGGCUACCAAAUUUGGUAUGUAGUGACAUGUAAUAGUUCUCUACCAAGUUUGUUCAAAUUAUGCCCCUUGGGUUAAAUUUGAAACUGCCCCGGGGGUUACAAAACUGAACAUAUGCUUAUAAAGUGCUUAAUUUGUGAAAACUUAAAAAAAAAUUGUCCAUAUCUAUUGGGCCUAGGGCUACCAAAUUUGGUAUGUAGUGACAUCUUAUAAACCUCUACCAAAUUUGUUCAAAUAAUGCCUCUGGGGUCAUCUUUGACCCUGCCGCGGGGGGUCACAAAAUUUAAUAAACGCUUAAAAAGCGCCUAUUUUGUGAAAUCUUAAAAAAUCUUGUUGAAAACCAUUCUGACUAUGGCUACCAAAUUUGGUAUGCAGGAACAUCUUAUAGUCAUCUACCAAGUUUGUUACUUUGGGUCAAAUUUGACCCUGACCCGCGGGUCACAAAAUUGAACAUUAUAUACGCUUGUAUCUUGCUUAUUUUGUGAAAACUUUAAAAAUAUUCUUGUCCUUAACUCUACAUCUAAGACUUAGGGCCACCACAUUUUGUAUGGAGUGAGAUAUAGUAGUCCUCUACAAAGUUUGCUCAAAUUAUGCCCCUGGGGUUAAAUUUUACCCAGCCCAGGUGGUCACAAAAUUGUACAUGUGCUUAAAUAGGGCCUAUAUUUAAGUAUCUGCACAUGCGGAGAAUAUUUGUUUCAGUCUUUUUUUCAGCAGUGGAGCGAUACAGGGCCAUCAUGGCCUCUUGUCUUUAAAUACACAUCACACAGUUCUAAAAAUAAUUUUAAAAUACCUAAUACAUAUGUUCAAUUUAAAACCAACAACAUGGGUAACAGGUGGGUGGGGUAAUUUAAGAUGUUUAUAUGAACAUCAACAUUGUUUUUUCAGUUGUUACAUCUGAAAUAUUUUCAUAACAAUAUACAUUAUAAAUAUUUCUACGUGUAUCACAUUUCAGUUGAUAAUUUGAUUGUUAUGGAGCAGUUAUUAUAUAGAUAUGUUUUAAAUACUAUUACAAUGUUAGUCAUUGUAUUUUUGAAAUUAAGUCCAUAUUAAAAUGUCUAUAGCAAAAAAAAAUCCACGGUGACCUAUCAAUUUCUUUACUUAAUUUUAAUGCUUAGCUAGUUUCCUUUAAUUAUUGAGAACUUCAAAUGAAUAUGAAUAUUACAUCAACAGAAAUAUGUAUCUGUAUUGCAUGUUAUCUAUUUUGAACUGUGCAAUAAAAAAUUCAAAACAAACAAAAAACUAUUCAUACUUAUUUCUCAUUAUUUUUUACGAUUUCCAUAAUUUUUGGUUUUAAAACUGUUCACUAUGAUAAUACACAUGUUACAGUUGCUAAUCUAAUGCAAUCUCAAUACUAUUAUGCCAUUUUAAAUGUAUUACACAAAAACAUUUUACCGUACCCCCAAAUUUAUGCCCCGCAAAAAUGACCUUUUUUCAAACGCACAUGGCAUUUAAAAACCUUCGUUAUCUCAAAAUUAUUCACGGUGACCUCUCUUUUUUAUUUUAUAUUAAUUUCAGAUACAGAUUCAUUAAUCACCAUACAAAAAAUUAUAGCAUUCCGGAUAUUUUGAAAAUUAUCACAAAACGAUCGAACAUC